rnacentral:misc_RNA from 1 species
GAUGAAGAACGUAGCGAAAUGCGAUAAGUAAUGUGAAUUGCAGAAUUCAGUGAAUCAUCGAAUCUUUGAACGCACAUUGCGCCCUCUGGUAUUCCGGGGGGCAUGCCUGUUCGAGCGUCAUUAUAACCACUCAAGCUCUCGCUUGGUAUUGGGGUUCGCGGUUUCGCGGCCCCUAAAAUCAGUGCCGGUGCCUGUCGGCUCUACGCGUAGUAAUACUUCUCGCGAUUGAGUUCGAUAGGUCUACUUGCCAGUAACCCCCAAUUUUUACAGGUUGACCUCGGAUCAGGUAGGGAUACCCGCUGAACUUAAGCAUAUCAAUAAGCGGAGGA